UAAAGAUGGGGAUAGUAGUAGAUAUUAGAUAAUGCCGAAUGUGCUCAUUUACAUAAAGGUAGAUGAGGAAAGGGAGCUACGGCUCCGCUUUAGGAUAGGCCCGCGUCCCAUUAGCUAGUUGGUGAGGUAACGGCCCACCAAGGCAACGAUGGGUAUCCGGCCUGAGAGGGUGAACGGACACAUUGGGACUGAGAUACGGCCCAAACUCCUACGGGAGGCAGCAGCUAAGAAUCUUCCGCAAUGGACGAAAGUCUGACGGAGCGACGCCGUGUGAAUGGAGAAGACCGAAAGGUUGUAAAAUUCUUUUGCAGAUGAAGAAUAAGGAUAAGAGGGAAUGCUUGUCCGAUGACGGUAGUUAUGCGAAUAAGCCCGGCUAAUUAC
rnacentral:rRNA from 1 species